rnacentral:lncRNA from 1 species
AAUUCAGCGUUUGCACUAUUAUAAGCCAUGCUUCAGAAGUUUGGGCAGUGUCUCCUUCUGCUACGCCUGUGAAGCCACCACGUCCCAAGCUGUCCUCGGCAGGACCCUCCUCUCGGGGCACUUGGCACAGCGCCAGAUACAGGGCUCUUCUCAGCCCACAUGCCUCUCCUUCAGGGGACCACUGUCACUGUACACUGCGCCAUGCCUCUGCUGUCCCUCCGUCCAGGCCGUGGUUUCUGUAACACACGUCUCCAAUCGCUUAAAUCAUGAUUUGUGGUCUUUGGAGCUGAGCCGGAGGGGAUCUGGUUCCCUGUGGUGUCCCUGGCCGCCAGCACGGCGUUUUAUAAUGGUCAGAAGCAAGAACUCACGUCACUUCCUGUGGAUUUACUGUGACUCUGCCACCUGCCACCCAACUCUUCACUUCCUUCUCUGAGUUAUCACGUCACCCAUCACACACAGGGACAGUGGGGUUUCAAUGAGAUACGGCACAUAGCCUAACCCUGCCAAGGCUCAGCUUCGCCGAUGGGGAGUGCCUGUUCUGUGCCAGUACCAUUGUAAGUGCUUUCCAUCGGGGUGGGCAAACUGUGGUCCACAGGCCCAAGCCACCCUGCCACCUGUUUUUGCACAGCCCACAAGAGCUAAGAGUGGCUUUUACAUUUCUAAAGGGUUGGGGAAAAAAAGAAAAAAAAAAGAGCCAUAUUUUGUGAUACAUGAAAAACUGCAUGAAAGGGAAUUUCAUUGUCGAUAGAUAAAGUUUUAUUGGAAGGUAGCAUGUCCUUUCUUUUUACACACGGUCGACGGUGGCUUUUAGGAACAGCAGCUGGAACAGAGGUGGUAUGGCCCACAGCAGCCCAAAUAUUUUCUGCCUGGCCCUUUGCAGAAAGAGUUUGCUGACCUUGGAUUUGCUGACCUUGGACUACAUGGAUGAGCUCAUCUAAUCAAUCCUGCACAGUGCAGGCUGUUUUUCUCCACCCACACUGUCCACAUGGGGAAGCGAGGUACGGACAGGUUAAGAAAUGGCUUGAAGUCACACACAGAGUAUAAAUGGUAGAGCUGGGGUUUGGUUUCCAGCGCUGGGGCUCUUCAUGGUUCCACCAUGGGGCAGGUUAUUGGUCUUUGCAGUGAGCAGCAUGAGGCAGAACGAGCUGAAGCCAGUGAUGCGAGGGGUAGAGUCAGCAUUUAGAACCUGGGCGGUCAGACCUCAGAGUUCUUGGUCUUUCUCUCAUAUGGGUUCUUUCCUCUUCUUCCAUCUUCUAGCAGCAUCACCCGCUAAACACGGAACCAGACAUACAGGGGCGUUCAGUAGGUCCUUAAAAGGCCAGGUGCCAGAGAGCAGGGAGGUAGUACAGGACUAGCUAGGGUUAUAUGCUUUCUAUUAAAUACUAGCUCAGUGAAUGUUUGUGGAAUGAAUGAAUGAAUCUGGUGAUGGGCUCCUGGAUUCUUAAGUUAAGCUCCUUAAUUCUAGAUACAGACGGGGACCCUUAGAAAAAGCAACAAACCCCAGGACCUUCUCAUGGGAAGGUGACCUUUCUGGGCCCCAGUUAUGCUCCCCAGGUAUUGGGUUCUUGGGCCAAAAGACCCGUCUUCAGUUAAAAUUUCACUCAAGGUGAGCUCCUGCUGUGGCACACUGGGUUGAGGAUCUGGCCUUGCCACAGCUGUGGCAUGGGUUGCAGCUGCAGCUCAGAUUCAGUCCCUUGCCCCUGAACUUCCAUAUGCCAUGGGUGGGGCCAUUAAAUAAGUAUAUGAAUAAAUUAAAUAAACAAACAAAUAAAAUUUCACUGGAGGAAAACUGCUCCCAUUUCCAUGCAUCACAGUGGGCUCUACUUUUAUUGAUCCUGACUAUUUGGUUUCUUUAAACAGCUUUGGGGAGGUAGAAAUUGUGUGGUAAGUUGCCACACAAUUUACCAAUCUUAGAACUGUUUCCCCACCUCCUAAAGAAAGUCUGUCCCCUCAGCUCUCACCUCCCAAUCCCUCUUUUACCCCCAAUCCUAAGCAACCCCUAAUCCACUUUCUCUUCCUUUGGAUUUGCCUAUUCUACUUCAUGUGAAUGAAAGCAUAGGAUAUGUGGUCUUUCGUGGACUUACCAAACUAUUCCUUUAAGAUCUGGACAUUUCACUGAGGUGUUGAUGGCUUCUUUCACUUGGGUUCAUGGUCUCCAGGUUCGUCCGCACCGUCUUGUGUACCUGUGCUUUAUUCCUCUUUAUCCCGUGGACGGAUAUACCCCAUUUUAUUUGUUCAUUCGUCAGUUGAUGGAUGUUGGGCUUUCCCACUUUUUGGUGAUUAUGAAUAAUGCUGCUCUGAAGGUACCAGGUUUUCUAACUAACUAACUAACUAACUAACGUAUGUUGGUUUUCAUCCUUCUUGAGUUUACAUACCUAGGAGUGGAAUGGCUGGGUCGUAUGGUGACUCCAUGUGGUAGUUACCUUUUGAGGAACUGCCAGACUGUUUUCCAAAGCACCUACGACUGUUUUCUGUCCCCACCAGAACUGCCUGUAUUUGCUUAUCAUUCAUGCUUGUCUUUAAAGAUAACGUGAUUCCAUUUAUAUGAAUAUUUUUUAAAAUUUUAUUUAAUUUUAUUCUUUUCUUUUUUGGCCGCCCCAUGGCUUGUGGAGUUCCCAGGCCAGGGAUCAGACCCAAGCCACAGUUGUGACCUGUGCCACAGCUCCUGCAGUGCCCAAUUCGUAACUCACUGCGCCAGGCCAGGACUGAACCUAAGUCCCAGCGCUGUUGAAAUGCCACCCAUCCCAUUGCACCACAGCGGGAACCCCUAUAUGAGUUGUUAGAGCACGCAAAAUUCAUCAGUUGUGCUAGAAAUCACCCCAGGGCUGCCUCUGGGAGGCAGGCAGAGGGUGCUUGCUGGUAGAGGGAGAUGUUUUGUGUCUGGGUGAUUUAGUGUGUUUGGUGUCUGCAUUUGUCAGAACUCACCAAACUGUUCCUUUAAGAUCUGGACAUUUCACUGAGUGUUAAUUAUACCUAAAUUAAAAAAAAAAAAACCAUACAAAUGAAAACAACAUAGGUGGGGCGGGGAAAGAAAGAAAUAUAUAAAUAAUCUCAGGACAUGACUUAUCUUAUCCACCUUCCCCUGGGCAGAGGGCCUGAGCUGGGCAGGCGAGGCCAAGCGUAAAGGGCUCUUAAUUGAUGUGAUUAACUGUGUCUCAAUAGGGAGCCUCGUUAGCAUGAGGGUCGAUGGAAAGGAGGUUAUUUUUCAUUCUCCCAACUAGGGGAUGGCUGGAAGAGGGGCCUGGGGGCCAUUUGGGGCUGUUUCCUGUAGGGGGGCGGGCAGGGGGCAGUGGGAGGUCCUGUCCCUUCUGCUUAGAAGAACCACGUUUUCCUUCGGCAUUAAGAUACUUUUCCAAAAAAAAUCAUUUUCUCAGUUGCUGCAAAAACCUGUGCUCUGUUUUCCUCUGUGGAGAGGAGGAGACCUACCUGAUUUUUUUUUUGGGGGGGUAUGUUUUCUAAGGUUGUAUCAUCCAGUAGAACAAAGGAUUUAGACAGAACACUUUAAUUUUUCCUAAAUGCAUUAAUGGCUGAUGCACAGUCACCAGGAAACAAACUAAAAGAAGUAAAAGGUUUUAUCUCUCUCUCUGAGAAUCUGCAAGGAAAUGUGGAUUGAGCUAAUUCACAGAAAAUUAGGAUUGGAAAGUUGUCACUAAUUAUCCAUGUAAAAAAUUAUAAACAUUUAAAAAUUAAAAACCCAUGUAAAAAUGUGUUUAUAAAAUCACAAAAGUGUAUCAUUUUAUUUGUAUACU